AGCGAACGCUGGCGGCAGGCCUAAUACAUGCAAGUCGAACGCCCCUUCGGGGGAGUGGCGGACGGGUGAGUAACGCGUGGGAACGUGCCCUUUGGUACGGAACAACUGAGGGAAACUUCAGCUAAUACCGUAUGUGCCCUUCGGGGGAAAGAUUUAUCGCCAUUGGAGCGGCCCGCGUUGGAUUAGCUAGUUGGUGGGGUAAAGGCCCACCAAGGCGACGAUCCAUAGCUGGUCUGAGAGGAUGACCAGCCACACUGGGACUGAGACACGGCCCAGACUCCUACGGGAGGCAGCAGUAGGGAAUCUUGGGCAAUGGGCGAAAGCCUGACCCAGCCAUGCCGCGUGAAUGAUGAAGGUCUUAGGAUUGUAAAAUUCUUUCACCGGGGACGAUAAUGACGGUACCCGGAGAAGAAGCUCCGGCUAACUUCGUGCCAGCAGCCGCAGUAA
rnacentral:rRNA from 1 species